AGUGAACGCUGGCGGUAGGCCUAACACAUGCAAGUCGAACGGCAGCACAGUAAGCGCUUGCUCUUACGGGUGGCGAGUGGCGGACGGGUGAGGAAUACAUCGGCAUCUACUUUUUCGUGGGGGAUAACGUAGGGCCACUUACGCUAAUACCGCAUACGACCUACGGGUGAAAGCAGGGGAUCUUCGGACCUUGCGCGAUUGAAUGAGCCGAUGUCGGAUUAGCUAGUUGGCGGGGUAAAGGCCCACCAAGGCGACGAUCCGUAGCUGGUCUGAGAGGAUGAUCAGCCACACUGGAACUGAGACACGGUCCAGACUCCUACGGGAGGCAGCAGUAGGGAAUAUUGGACAAUGGGCGCAAGCCUGAUCCAGCCAUACCGCGUGGGUGAAGAAGGCCUUCGGGUUGUAAAGCCCUUUUGUUGGGAAAGAAAAGCAGCAGGUUAAAACCCCGCUGUUCUGACGGUACCCAAAGAAUAAGCACCGGCUAACUUCGUG
rnacentral:rRNA from 1 species